UCCCAAUACGCGAGUGGAGUAGCUUCCCUUGAGCCAGUGUCGCGAGAACGUUGUGGUGGGAAUUGUGUGAGUUUUAUGUCGCAACACUCGUAAGCAGUGACUGUCAUUGGUCGGUAUUUGCCUUGGAUUUAUCCCGGACCAUAAGGUUCCGUAACACUGGCUGUCACUUCGGACCCCUGAGUGGGUCUGAGCCGGGAAGAUGACGACAGACAUAAGCGUAGGGGUCCGCUGGGACCCCAUCAAGCAGGAGGAGGUGAUCGAAGACUUCGACUACGAUGGUGGAAACUCUUCUUCGAGGCUUUUCGAACGAUCCAGGAUCAAGGCUUUGGCCGGUGAGUGG
rnacentral:lncRNA from 1 species